UUUUUUUUUUUUUCUGGAAAAACUCCCAAACUUCCUUUCAGAAGACAUUGAGAUUCUCAGCUGACACACUGCUAUUGACAGAAGACCUCAGGUUUGUUUGCACCUUGACUGGGAGUCAGAUAAUCCUGACAAAAACAUUGCAGAGAUACGGCAGCUUUGCUCUCGCCAGCAAACGCACUGAUGUGUAGCCCAAGGGUGUGUAUGCCACUGUUGGGCUUCUCUUAAAUCUUUGUUUUUUUUAGUGGAGGCAUGCCAAAGACAGAUGAUGUCGACUCCAGCAUGGAGGGUGCGUGCCUACCCCCUCCACAAACCACUUGGGGUUGUCUCUGCUCAUGAGCCUCUGAUAAAAGGAUGUGUCCCUCUCCAUGUUGUUGUCCAUGGGCUCACUUUUGCUCAAAAAUUCCUAGGGGUUGCUAGGGGAAGGAUGGUUCAGUGGUUAAGGGCUAACUGAAGGCUCAAGAGAUGUGGUCUUAAUUCCCUUUGUGGUUUCAGGCAAGACACUUAGCCCUGACACCCACAUAGCAAAAUGUCAAAACAUUGCAUUUCAAUGCAGUCAGAGACAAAGUGCUUUAUGGUGUAAAUGCCAAAGGAAAAACAAAACUUUUGUGUUUGGAAAUUGAGCAUUGCUUUUCAAAAUGCCUUUGUUUUACAAAAAGGAAGGAAAAAAAGCCCCAAAAUGGGGGCAAUUAAGAAAAAAAAAAAACCCAAUAAUUAAAUAACUUUUCGACAUCUGUCUUGUAUGAAACAAGGCAAGAACAAAGCAUUUCAUAUUUAUCCUGAAAGACAUUACAUUUUUUUCCUUUGUUUCAUAUAGAAAUUGUACAUUUUGAUUCAGUUAAAUCUGAAGUUGGGUUUCUCCUCUCUCCAAACUGUAAUCCUGCCUUGACCAAGUAGCACAAAAUUCAAGUUCCAACUUGGAAAGGAUAACGAAAGUUGAGGAGAACAAAGAAAAGCGUUGACAAUGAGAUAAUUUGAAAUUGUUUCUUGUUUUGAUAAACAUGUCAUAGAUAAAUUAAAAAUAAGCCAAGGAGACAAAUCUAAUAGGGGUGAUAGUCUAUUUGAACAUAUGUUCUUGACUCAGAGAUUUCUGAAAAACUGUGUAGUCUGGCUAUCAGCCAGUUUCUCUGCUUAGGACUGAUGUGACAACUAAUUAGCUGAAAUGGGGAAAUAUAUCUUUAUUGCGCCAGUUAUGUACAUGUAACUUGCUCUGUUUAUCUAUCUGUUUGUUUUCUCUCCCUCUUUUUAUGACCCCCACAGACUACUCACAUGAGACCCUUUAAAGGCCUUUUGCUUGGUAAGAUUUUGAUCACAACUUUCCUGUGGUGGUGGAGGAACUCUAGGAGGACAUUCAACAUUUCAUCCACAAAGCAUUUAAAGGAAGAGAGAGUGAAAGACAGAAAGGAGGACAGAAAGAGAGAACUAAGGAAUUCAGAGGGAUGCAUUAUUCAGCAUGCUUGGAAAUAACCCUUUUCACUGGCUCCACUAAGCUCAAAUGCCCUGGAGGUUUUCACUAUCUAUCUUUUUCCAAUGCAGCUCAGAAAAAAAGCUCACAUCUGUCAAGAUCACAGUUUCAAGAGUCCCAAUUUAUUCAGCUGAAUGGGAUAAAAGUGCCUGUUGGAAAAAGAUUUGAAAGGGGGGUGGGGGAGGGAGACUGUCCAGUUCCUACAUCUAGCUUUCUAGCUCUGUGUGCGUGUGUAUAAAACGCACUCAUUCAAAUAGGCAAACAGGCAAAGCUGCCUGUCUCCCUCCAGCACAGAACUGUUUUUCCAACUUCACACAGGGCAGUUCUGCAAAUCUCACAUCUGUCAUGAGCUGGGCAGAUUUAAAUGCAUUGACCUAUAGAUAUGCAACCUAAGCAUAUAUGGAUGUGGUAUAAGGAGAUAUAGAUAUAUACAGGAGGCUGUGACUGUAAGGAGAAGGGAAUAUAAAGGAAAAGCUUAAAAAUCUUGUUGACUUUUUUUAAUCUCUGCCCUUCUUGAUCUGCUAAAUGCUGUCAGAAAAACAUUUAUUAAUAUGCAAAUUCUAAGCAGCAAUCUGGAGCCAGUCAGGUUGCGCUAAUUUGCACAUUAAUAUCCCUCUUCUGGUUUGCCUUUGCUCUCCAGAGGAGGAGAGGAGACAGAGGAAUCUCUUGCUGUAUCCUUUUAAAAGGCUGCCACGGAGGUGGUCUGAAGUUUCAUUUGAAAUACUGAUGCACAUUUGAAGAGGAGAAAUACAAACACCAUCCAACUAAGGUGCAGAGAACAGCUGGAGAGAAUAGAGACUGUACAAGAGAACCCACUGGCAGAUGCUUUCCCCCCAAAUCCCAUAGCUGUGAAGAAGGCAGCACUGCAAUAAAGUUGGUUCCAGAAAGUGACUUUGGAGUUCUGAUUGUUCUCUCCUGUGUACUCAUAUGUGUUUUCUGUGACUCGUUUUCUUCUGAUUUUCCUGUUGUCCACACACUGAGAGGAGAGGGAAGGGAAGUUCUGGGAAGGGAAGGGAAGUUCUGGGAAGGGAAGGGAAGGAAGGGAAGGGAAGGGAAGGGAAGGGAAGGGAAGGGAAGGGAAGGGAAGGGGAAGGGAAGGGAAGGGAAGGGAAGGGAAGGGAAGGAAGGGAAGGGAAGGGAAGGGAAGGGAAGGGAAGGGAAGGGAAGGGAAGGGAAGGGAAGGGAAGGGAAGGGAAGGGAAGGGAAGGGAAGGGAAGGGAAGGGAAGGGAAGGGAAGGAAGGGAAGGGAAGGAAGGGAAGGGAAGGGAAGGGAAGGGAAGGGAAGGGAAGGGAAGGGAAGGGAAGGAAGGGAAGGGAAGGGAAGGCCAUCUCUCUAAGGAAGAGAAAAAAGAGAGAAGACCUUCUAUAAAAAAUAGUAUCUGGAAUUUGGUUGUAGCAGAAUCAGCAUGUAGUAUAGUCAAAAUAUAGAAAGGGAAUUGGUUAUAUAGUACUUAGACUUAUGAAUCAACUUGCUCCUAGAUACAGGUAUGAAAUACCUUCGUAAAUCCAGAAGUUGUGAAGAAUUCAAGAAAAUAAAAUCUCCCCAAUGCUCCUAAAUGCAAAUGGUACACCUCAGAAAAUGCCUAUGCUUGAAGUUGCUGCAAGGUUGCUGAAACUAAGUAAUAAAAUGUUUUUGCCUUGCUCUUACACUUUUAUUUGAACAUUUACUUACAGUCACGGUUGCAGGAGAAGCUGCUGGACAGGGAAUAAUUUUGGUGUGAGUCAGUAAAGCUCUUAGGAAAGGUGGGGUUUUGCUUAGGUGAAUAAAUAUAUGACAAAGCCUAUGAGUAAUCAUAAAAGCUGUACACUAGGGUAAUAAAGUGGUUGACCCAGCACUUAUGGCUACAUUCCUGCAAUUUGCUUAGGUAAUCCUGGUCAUAUAUUGGGUGUAUUUCUUCUUGGAGAAGGUGAGGCUGGGGAAUAGAGCCUUGAAUUAGUUAUUAUACUUAAGGUAGCUGAAGGUUUUAGACUGUCAGUGCCGGGAUAUGCUUAGUUUAAAAAAAAAAUUUGCUUUUACAGAGAAACUGAAACAAUGAAGCAAUAGACUGUCAGAUUCUCUAAUGGUCUUUCAGACCUUCUUCCAAUCUUAUAUCAAACUAAAAGGUUAAAUAACUGUGUUCUUAUGUAUUCAGGCCUAAAACCAAGAGAAGACUGGCCUUGUGAUAUGAACCUAGUCAGUCACCCCUAGUAUAACUUAAAUUGAUUGAGAUCUCCAUACCCUGGACUUACUUCUCCAGAGACUUCGUUGAGACCUUCUGCUUGCUCCUAUCAUUUGAUAACAGCCACUUUUGCUCUUGACUGCUCUAAGUUAAAUGCAGUCCAGAGACCCUGAGGUGAAAAGAUCCCUUCCAACCAACUUGAUCAAUAGCCUGAGUCUGUUCUGCAAAAUUGUCGGGCAGAUUUGCCAGUGAGGUCACCAGGAGAAUUUACCCAUACUUUCAUUCACGGCAUUGAUAUUUUAUUCACACACUGCAAAAAGUAAGAGUUCUGUUAUAGACAGAAGCCAUGAGGUCCCUGUUAGUACAAGUUCUUCAGUCCCCAUUAACAGCUGUAAAUUUCUGAUAAACUAUUGUAACAUUGUAUGCCUUUACACAUAUGCUUAAAGAUAUAAAUGAGAGGUGAAGAAAUGAAUCUACUCAUCUAAUUUAUAGGUACAAGGCAGACAUGAUGAGGAUGAAACACAUCUUGCCUAAUUUUAGCUACCUUGAGCACAAAAUAUCUACUUUAAUCUCGAUAGUCCUCCCAGUCUAAACAAGGAAAACAUAGCUCUUUAUGAAGAGAUUUAUCCUAUUCUGAGACAGUUACCUGCAUUGGGUGUACGAAUAGAGGCACCUUUCUCGUGACUGGCUGCAGAAGGACAAGGAAAUCCAGUUUGGAUUGCAUGCAUUAUUUCGGGCAGUCUGUAAUCCAAUGAUAUGAUCAUCCAUCCUUCCAGGAACUUAAAUACCUGUGAUCUUAAUUCUACCCUUUGGUGCAUGAGGACCUACAUCUUGUGCCAACGUUUAUCAUAGUGCAAAGCCAAUGUAAAAAUGCCAACAAAAAAGAAGGUUGUUGCUUUCUUUUCCUCAGAACUAUACAAAUAGCAUGAAGAGGAAGGUAUAGGAUCAACUAUAGGUAACACGGGGGCACAUGCAGAGAUGGUUAGAGAGGGAGGUGUCUUUGGUGAAAGAUGGACCUACUGACAACAAUCACUGGCAGGCAGGGGAAGGUGCAAGGUCAACCUGUAGAUCACUGGAAACUAAGCACUUCCAAUCCAUUAAUUAAUUACACAGCUAGAAAGAGGGGACUGUAAAAAAAAAAAGGUGAACACAAUGACAUUGCUGACAACAGGAGCCCUCUAUUUAUCAGUCAUAAUGAGCUUCUUCCACCCCCCUGCAUCCUCCCUCCCCCAGUGCUACAGCUGCACUGAUGUGACUGAGCACUUGGGCUCCCUUCUCACUCCCCAGCCAGUCCCCUCCUUGCCAACGUGAAGGUGACUCAGUUAUUCGUAUCAGUUAGGCCUGGGGUAUCUCAGUCUGUACCAGUCUUCUUGGAGAGUAAACACCAUCCCACUGGUGCAACACAUCUGCCUGCUCUUUUCUUGGGAUCCUUUGCCCAUCAGCUCCUUCCCUCUCCUCUUGAUAUCUUGUGCAAUAAGCCCCUGGCUGGAAUUGAAGGGCUAAAGACAAAAGUGCUACCACCUGCUCCGAAUACUUGAAGCUAAUGAAGUGAGAAGACAGGCACAUUGAAAGUAAAAGAUAUUUUUUUUCCCCCUGAAGCGGUACAGAAUUAAAGCACUUGUUGCAGGAGAUGCUGAGGCAACCAACAGAGUUCAGAAAAGUUCAAAAAGACAAACCAAACAGAUUCACAGGCCAAUCAGUAUCUCCUGAGCCAAAUGAUUUCAGAACAGGAUGUCUUUCCAACAUAAAUUUCAGUAGAAAUGUUAUUGCCUACUCGUGUGUUAUGUCCCUAGUCAUGACAACUGUUUUUAUAAACAGAAUACUAGAAUAGAUGUGUUCUCACCUUAAUCAGACCCUUAAGUUAGCAUGCUACUAAACAACACCCACAACAUGUGAGGCACAAUUUAGACCUGAGACAACAUCAGCAUUUGUUCAGACACAGAAUCUUCCUUCUGGACUUGUCUAGCAGAAUCCCUCUCAGUGCCCCAUUGCUGGGGUGCAGGUCUUAUUUUGCAUAGGGAAACUAAGGCAAAGCCAAAUGAUGUAUGAAGACAGGAAAACCUACUUUUUUCAAGACAGGGAUGAGAAACAUCAAAACUGUACACCUUCAGUUA
ensembl:lncRNA